rnacentral:rRNA from 1 species
CGCGGCCUAUCAGCUUGUUGGUGAGGUAACGGCUCACCAAGGCGACGACGGGUAGCCGGCCUGAGAGGGCGACCGGCCACACUGGGACUGAGACACGGCCCAGACUCCUACGGGAGGCAGCAGUGGGGAAUAUUGCACAAUGGGCGAAAGCCUGAUGCGGCGACGCCGCGUGAGGGAUGACGGCCUUCGGGUUGUAAACCUCUUUCAGCAGGGAAGAAGCGAAAGUGACGGUACCUGCAGAAGAAGCGCCGGCUAACUACGUGCCAGCAGCCGCGGUAAUACGUAGGGCGCAAGCGUCGUCCGGAAUUAUUGGGCGUAAAGAGCUCGUAGGCGGCUUGUCACGUCGGGUGUGAAAGCCCGGGGCUUAACCCCGGGUCUGCAUCCGAUACGGGCAGGCUAGAGUGUGGUAGGGGAGAUCGGAAUUCCUGGUGUAGCGGUGUAAUGCGCAGAUAUCAGGAGGAACACCAGUGGCGAAGGCGGAUCUCUGGGCCAUUACUGACGCUGAGGAGCGAAAGCGUGGGGAGCGAACAGGAUUAGAUACCCUGGUAGUCCACGCCGUAAACGUUGGGAACUAGGUGUUGGCGACAUUCCACGUCGUCGGUGCCGCAGCUAACGCAUUAAGUUCCCCGCCUGGGGAGUACGG